AAAAACAUUUCCUCUUGGUAUAAGAGGUAAGGCCUGCUCACUGACUAGGUUGAAGAGCCGCAGUAUAUUGACUGUGCUAAGGUAGCAUAAUCAUUAGUCCUUUAAUUGGGGACUGGUAUGAAUGGCUAAACGAGAAAUUAGCUUUCUUUGUUAUGGUUUGUUGAAUUUAACUUGUAAGUGAAAAGGCUUACAUGAUUCAGAAAGACGAGAAGACCCUAUAGAGUUUUACAAAGGCCUAAAAUAUAGCUUAUUAGUUUUUAAGGGUUAUAUUUUGGAAAUUUGUUUGGUUGGGGCGACAUAAAGAUAAAAAAAACUCUUUGUAGUAUAAACUUUGGUGGAAGAAAAGGUUUGAUCCUCUAAAAGGGAUUAAAAGAAAAAAUUACCUUAGGGAUAACAGCGUAAUCUUCUUUUAGAGUUCAAAUCGACAAGAAGGUUUGCGACCUCGAUGUUGGACUAAAAUUUGGGCAAGGUGCAGCAGCUUUGUUUUUGGGUCUGUUCGACCCGUAAUAUUUUACAUGAUCUGAGUU
rnacentral:rRNA from 1 species